rnacentral:rRNA from 1 species
UACGGGGGGAGCAAGCGUUGUUCGGAUUCAUUGGGCGUAAAGGGUGCGUAGGCGGCGCGGUAAGUCGGGUGUGAAAUCUCGGAGCUUAACUCCGAAACUGCAUUCGAUACUGCCGUGCUCGAGGACUGGAGAGGAGACUGGAAUUUACGGUGUAGCGGUGAAAUGCGUAGAUAUCGUAAGGAAGACCAGUGGCGAAGGCGGGUCUCUGGACAGUUCCUGACGCUGAGGCACGAAGGUCAGGGGAGCAAACGGG